UUCCUACGGGCGGCAGCAGUAGGGAAUAUUCCGCAAUGGGCGAAAGCCUGACGGAGCAACGCCGCGUGAGUGAAGAAGGUCUUCGGAUCGUAAAGCUCUGUCAACAGGGACGAAACAAGACGGUACCUGAGAAGGAAGCCACGGCAAACUACGUGCAAGCAGCCGCGGUAAUCCGUAGGUGGCAAGCGUUGGCCGGAAUAACUGGGCGUAAAGCGCAUGUAGACGGCAUGAUAAGCCAAAUGUGAAAUGUAGGGGCUCAACCCCUAAACUGCGAUUGGAACUGUCAAGCUUGAGUGCAGGAGAGGAGAAUGGAAUUCCCAGUGUAGCAGUGAAAUGCGUAGAGAUUGGGAGGAACACCAGUGGCGAAGGCGAUUUGCUGGACUGCAACUGACGUUGAGAUGCGAAAGCCAGGGGAGCAAACGGGAUUAGAUACCCUUGUAGUCCG
rnacentral:rRNA from 2 species